GUGCCAGCCGCCGCGGUAAUACGUAGGCAGCGAGCGUUGUUCGGAGUUACUGGGCGUAAAGGGUGCGUAGGCGGCCUUUUAAGUUUGGUGUGAAAUCUCCCGGCUCAACCGGGAGGGUGCGCCGGAUACUGAGGGGCUAGAGUGCGGGAGAGGAAAGUGGAAUUCCUGGUGUAGCGGUGAAAUGCGUAGAUAUCAGGAGGAACACCUGCGGUGUAAACGGCUUUCUGGACCGUAACUGACGCUGAGGCACGAAAGCGUGGGUAGCAAACAGGAUUAGAAACCCUUGUAGUCC
rnacentral:rRNA from 1 species